UCCUUGUUAGCUCAGUUGGUAGAGCGUUCGGCUUUUAUGUUCGCUUACAGGGAACCGAAAUGUCAGGGGUUCGAGCCCCCUACGAGGAG
rnacentral:tRNA from 1 species